rnacentral:tRNA from 1 species
GGUGAGAUGGCCGAGCGGUCUAAGGCGCUAGCUUAAGGUGUUACCCUCUGGUAUAACCACAAUCGCUAGUCCGAAAGGGCGUGGGUUCAAAUCCCACUCUCAUCA